rnacentral:sRNA from 1 species
GAAGCGUCAACCUCGCACCGCGCAAGCGGCUAAGACGAGGAGCGUCCGGGGGUAACGCCGGACUGUG